CUACGGGGGGCAGCAGUGAGGAAUUUUGCGCAAUGGGGGUAACCCUGACGCAGCAACGCCGCGUGAGUGAUGAAGGCUUUCGGGUCGUAAAGCUCUGUCAAGUGGGAAGAAUAUACGAAAUGCUAAUACCAUUUUGUACUGACGGUACCACUGAAGGAAGCACCGGCUAACUCCGUGCCAGCAGCCGCGGUAAUACGGGGGGUGCAAGCGUUAUUCGGAAUUAUUGGGCGUAAAGAGCACGUAGGCGGCCGCUUAAGUCAGAUGUGAAAGCCCGGGGCUCAACCCCGGAAGUGCAUUUGAAACUAAGUGGCUUGAGUAUGGGAGAGGGAAGUGGAAUUCCUGGUGUAGAGGUGAAAUUCGUAGAUAUCAGGAGGAACACCGGUGGCGAAGGCGACUUCCUGGACCAAUACUGACGCUGAGGUGCGAAGGCGUGGGGAGCAAACAGGAUUAGAUACCCCUGUAGUC
rnacentral:rRNA from 1 species